GUUUAUGGUUUUGCUUAAAACAAAUUUCAUUCAACAAUUUUUUUCCAACCAUUUUACAGGAUUUGUCGAUUUUCUGCAGAGGAAGUACACUUUUAUCAUCAAAAGGAAUCGGCAAAUCCUGACAGUUAGAAAUGACGAUUCCUAACGAUGGGGAUGUUUUGUCAUCAAAAGCUGUUCGUCCAAUCUUUGGUGACCUUUUGGAUAACGUCUGACCAAGUUGAAGAGAUAUGAUUGAUCAAAGCCAAUGAUGGGUUAUCGACCACCUUUAAUUAAAAGUGUAGGCUGCGUAUUUAAAGAAACUUGAUUAGAUGACAGGAAAUAGGGUCCGGAAUACAACCAACUUUAAUUAAAGUGUAGGCUGCGAUUUUGGAGCAAUUUGAUUGGUCGAUGGGAAAGAGGGACUGGCGGCCAGCAACAUGGGGCAUGGACGGUUGGUAAUAGGAGGCGCAAACUAGGGCAACCGGCCGACCAAGUGACGCAGCCGCGCCCCUUUGGAUGUUGUCCUCACUUGUCGCAGUUUUCCUUUUAUUUUUUGUUUUCCAACUUUUAGUAGGAUUCUGCUCCUACUGGUUCCAUGAUGGAACGAUUUCCUAGUUUGUCUAGGGUUAGUCUCGACCAAUAGGGAUCGAGAUAUUGCG